GAUGAACGCUGGCGGCGUGCUUAACACAUGCAAGUCGAACGGAAAGGCCCAAGCUUGCUUGGGUACUCGAGUGGCGAACGGGUGAGUAACACGUGGGUGAUCUGCCCUGCACUUCGGGAUAAGCCUGGGAAACUGGGUCUAAUACCGGAUAGGACGAUGGUUUGGAUGCCAUUGUGGAAAGUUUUUUCGGUGUGGGAUGAGCUCGCGGCCUAUCAGCUUGUUGGUGGGGUAAUGGCCUACCAAGGCGUCGACGGGUAGCCGGCCUGAGAGGGUGUACGGCCACAUUGGGACUGAGAUACGGCCCAGACUCCUACGGGAGGCAGCAGUGGGGAAUAUUGCACAAUGGGCGCAAGCCUGAUGCAGCGACGCCGCGUGGGGGAUGACGGCCUUCAGGUUGUAAACUCCUUUCGCUAGGGACGAAGCGUUUUUGUGACGGUACCUGGAGAAGAAGCACCGGCUAACUACGUG
rnacentral:rRNA from 1 species